rnacentral:rRNA from 1 species
CAAAAGCGUAUAUUAAAGUUGUUGCAGUUAAAAAGCUCGUAGUUGAACCUUGGGCUUGGCUGGCCGGUCCAUCUUUUUUGAUGCGUACUGGACCCAGCCGAGCCUUUCCUUCUGGCUAGCCUUUUGGCGAACCAGGACUUUUACUUUGAAAAAAUUAGAGUGUUCAAGGCAGGCCUUUGCUCGAAUAUAUUAGCAUGGAAUAAUAGAAUAGGACGUUAUGGUUCUAUUUUGUUGGUUUCUAGGACCAUCGUAAUGAUUAAUAGGGACGGUCGGGGGUAUCAGUAUUCAGUUGUCAGAGGUGAAAUUCUUGGAUUUACUGAAGACUAACUACUGCGAAAGCAUUUACCAAGGACGUUUUCAUUAA